rnacentral:rRNA from 1 species
UACGUAGGGUCCGAGCGUUGUCCGGAAUUAUUGGGCGUAAAGAGCUCGUAGGCGGUUUGUCGCGUCGUUCGUGAAAACUCACAGCUUAACUGUGAGCUUGCGGUCGAUACGGGCGGACUGGAGUUCGGCAGGGGAGACUGGAAUUCCUGGUGUAGCGGUGAAAUGCGCAGAUAUCAGGAGGAACACCGGUGGCGAAGGCGGGUCUCUGGGCCGAUACUGACGCUGAGGAGCGAAAGCGUGGGGGAGCGAACAGG